rnacentral:tRNA from 2 species
UCCGCAGUAGCUCAGUGGUAGAGCUAUCGGCUGUUAACCGAUCGGUCGUAGGUUCGAGUCCUACCGGCGGAGCCA